UGACUGGUAGGACCAGGUAGACAUUCAUCAGAGGCACCAGAUUCUUGAACCUUGCACACAUUUCCUCGGAAAGGCAUGAUAUUAAGCUGGACAGCUGAUCUGCCCUGGGCAAAUGCCUUGUAACUCUGGAAGUCAGACAGAACAUCCUCAAUGGAAAUUCACUCCCUAGACAGAAGACCACUGAAGUGCUCCGUUAGUGCUUUGACAUCUUCCUUCCACUUCCCUGAACUGCAUAUAGGCACUGAGGUCUGAUUUCUCCCAUUUUGGCCAGCCAGAUGGGUCGAACACCCUAAAUCUGCUGACUGGACUGCCCCUCUCUAGGUCCUUCAUACUCUCCUCUAAAUGUGGUGGUGAUGUACCAGAAAACUUCAUUCCUUUGUACUCCAUUUUUCCUCACUGCCUCAUAUACAAGAAUCAUUUGUGGGCCCAUUUCUGUUUUGAGGGCAGUCAUGUUCCAGAAGCAUUUUUCAAUGCACUGAAUAGCUUGACAGAUGGUGGUUGUGUCUUUCUGGAACUCCUUGCUUAGUUCUGUGAGGUGGUACAGUGUGUCACACCUGAAAUGUAGGAACAAGACAUUGCGGAUGUUACGCAAGUAGUUAGUAACUUGCUUCACCGUCCCACAACUGCUGAUAAUGGCUUGGGGUUCCUUUCCAUGCUCGCCAUUUCUUCAAAAUGGGCCAGAAAGAUGGGGUAACUGUUGCAUAAAAUCUAAAAAAAAGAAUAUUUAAGAUCCAUGUGUCCAUGCUGAUAUCCAUUAAAAUUUGAGAAACUGCCGAAAAGGAUUGUUAAUUUAUCACUCACCUUUGUUGCACGAUACACAUAUGGCAGCCAUCGAGCUCCGUGCAGAUUAGAUGGCUUAAGU